GCUAGCGUUGCUCGGAAUCACUGGGCGUAAAGCGCACGUAGGCGGUUUGCUAAGUCAGGGGUGAAAUCCUGGAGCUCAACUCCAGAACUGCCUUUGAUACUGGCGAUCUUGAGUCCGGGAGAGGUGAGUGGAACUGCGAGUGUAGAGGUGAAAUUCGUAGAUAUUCGCAAGAACACCAGUGGCGAAGGCGGCUCACUGGCCCGAUACUGACGCUGAGGCACGAAAGCGUGGGGAGCAAACAGG
rnacentral:rRNA from 1 species